rnacentral:tRNA from 1 species
UCCCUGGUGGCCCAGUGGUUAGGGCUCUGCAUUUCCACUGCAAGGGGCACAGGUUCGAUCCUAGGUCAGGAAA